UCGGUACCGGCACGUGUCUAUGCUCUUGUGUAGAAUUACCGAAAUCCCCGCUAAGAGGCAGCGUACGGUGUCAAGAGUGCUUAAAAAUUCAUAUUAAUAUCAUUAUUUGUACAUCAACAGUUAUGCGAUGCCAAGAAACAAUCAUAUCAAUGACAUAUUGACCCUGUAAGGCGUGAAUAUGGGGGAUUUCGGUACUCGGCGGGCAAAUGUAAAAUUACCGAAUCCCCGCUACGAGGCAGCGUAUGGUGUCAAGAGUGCUUAAAAAUUAAUAUUAAUAUCAUUAUUUGUACAUCAACAGUUAUGCGAUGCCAAGAAACAAUCAUAUCAAUGACAUAUUGACCAUAUAAGGCGUGAAUAUGAGGGAUUUCGGUACUCGGCGGGCGAAUGUAGAAUUACCGAAAUCCCUGGCCUAAGUGAUAAUUUUUCAACCUAGGUCACCAAAGGGGAUAUUGUUGAUAGUUUUUUGUCUUUCUGACUGAUUUCUACACUAAGUAAGCAAUAUAAUGAUUCUUUUGACUCUUGCAGGUUUGUACAGCGGGGAUUUCGGUACCGGCGCCUGUCUAUGCUCUUGUGUAGAAUUACCGAAAUCCCCGCUAAGAGGCAGCGUACGGUGUCAAGAGUGCUUAAAAAUUCAUAUUAAUAUCAUUAUUUGUACAUUAACAGUUAUGCGAUGGCAAGAAACAAUCAUACCGAUGACAAAGUGAUCCUGUAAGGCGUGAAUAUGGGGGAUUUCGGUACUCGGCGGGCAAAUGUAGAAUUACCGAAAUCCCCCCUAAGCGGCAACUUAUGCUGUCAAGUGUGCUUAAUAAUUAACAUUAAUAUUAUUUUUUGCACGUAAACAUUCAAGCAAAGCCAAAAACCAAGAAUACAAAUGAUAUUUUUGACACUUUCAGAUGUAAAUAUGGGGGAUUUCGGUACUCUGUGGGCGAAUGUAGAAUUACCGAAAUCCCCGCUACAAGUCAAUAUUUUUUAAAAGAAGUGAGAUAUUGUUGUCCAGUUUUUGUCUGUACCUCUUCUUUCUAAUAUCAAAAAGCCACUCAGAUGAUUUUUUGACACCUGAAGAGCUUUACAGCGGGGAUUUCUGUUCCUGAUCGUGCUUGUGAAAACAUGCACUAUGGAUUCAUACUCGGAAUCCCAAUAAUUAUGUAUAUAUUUUAGUUUUCCACUACCAAAAAUGGAUAAAAACAAUUUUUCAUCAGUGAAUUGAUUGUAUUUUGCAAUAUUCUAUCUUAAUAUCCGCCGUAUUUUGAUAAAUAAUAAAUAUUAUUGGGGAUUUCUGGGGAUUUCUGGCUCGGAAUACCAAUAAUUAUGUAUAUAUUUUAGUUUUCACUACCAAACAUGGAUAAAAACAAUUUUUCAUCAGUGAAUUGAUUGUAUUUUGCAAUAUUCUAUCUUAAUAUCCGCAGUAUUUUGAUAAUUAAUAAAUAGUAUUGGGGAUUAUUGGGGAUUUCUGGCUUGGAAUCUCAAAAAUUAUGUAUAUAUUUUAGUUUUUCACUUCCAAACAUGGAUAAUAACAAUUUUUCAUCAGUGAAUUGAUUGUAUUUUGCAAUAUUCUAUCUUAAUAUCCGCAGUAUUUUGAUAAAUAAUAAAUAUUAUUGGGGAUUUCGGGGGAUUUCGGGGAAUUCUGGGGAUUUCGGGGGAUUUCGGUAAUUACGGGGAUUUCGGUAUUUCUACACACAGUCAAGUUUGUGUGUUUUACCCGAAAGUUGUCAAAAUCUAAAACACUUCUUAAUUUAACAUUUGUUUUUGAACUUUUCUAUAAUGAAAGUAAUGACAUUUCGUUUAAAGGUUGUGUCAAUAUAUUACCCUUUCAGUAUUAUUCUAUCACUUUAUGUUCUUUAAGAUAAAGUGAAGUGAACAGGGUUGUAUAAUCAACAUUCAAAAUUCCUUUGCAAAACUUUGUGCAAUCACGCAAUAGCAUGUAAGCAAUAACAAUUUUAUUCGAAGUGGCUACACAAUGAAUUAUGUUAUUAAUUCUAUUUGAUGAUAAUUAUUAGAAUACUUUUUUAUGUUUCUUUUCUUGUCAGAUGAUCUAGUUGCUUAUGUCCAUAUAAAUGGCUGUGUUCAUGAUCAAUUCAAAGCAACUCUUCAUUCAUUUAUUUCAGCCAAAAAUACAGAUUGAGUGAAAAAGACAAAGUGCGAACACCAAAAGAUGUGCUCAUUAUUAUCAGGAUUGACAACAGUUUAUGCUUUUGAUGAAGCAGUCAUGCCAAGGAAGAGAUUAGCAUGUAAGCAGCAAAGUUCAUCCUUGUCUUCAACACUAUGGUGACAACAAAUAAUACAUAUCUUCGAAAUGCAUUUUGCCAAUCCUGGUGCAACCUGAGCUUACCAAGUUUACAUCUGACUGUCAGUUUGGACAUUGUGUAGAUGAUAAUAUGGACAAUAUAUUGUGUUGUGAUUGACUUUUUUUAAACAGAUAAAGUGAUUUAUUCCAGACUUAACAUGUCAUUUAUAAUCAAGGAAUAACAAAAAUACAAUUUUAUUGAUAUGCAUGAAUUUGUAGUACAUAAUAUCAACAAUGUGUAUCUUAUGUUGUUUUUUGAA